CGCAGAUGAUGUAAAAGGAUAUUUGCUAUCUUAACAUCCUUGACGACAACCUUUCCACCAAGAUCGCUGAUGCG
rnacentral:snoRNA from 1 species